CAUCAUAUUUUACACCAUAAGGAAUUACAUACAAGAGUUUCUAAAAGCAGUACAAAUUUUCAAACUUAGAUAACACACUACAAACUGUUAAAGCUAUAGUUUCUGGCAGCGGAAAACAUACGCGAUGAUUUACAACACGUCGUCAAGGUGGAUGUCAUGCUAAGCCCGGGCACGACAUCACUCGAUAUCUUCAAUGUUGGCCGGGGACGGAUCUCACUCCGCGGACCAACC
rnacentral:lncRNA from 1 species